rnacentral:rRNA from 1 species
AACGCGAAGAACCUUACCAGGUCUUGACAUCCUCUGACAACUCUAGAGAUAGAGCGUUCCCCUUCGGGGGACAGAGUGACAGGUGGUGCAUGGUUGUCGUCAGCUCGUGUCGUGAGAUGUUGGGUUAAGUCCCGCAACGAGCGCAACCCUUGAUCUUAGUUGCCAGCAUUUAGUUGGGCACUCUAAGGUGACUGCCGGUGACAAACCGGAGGAAGGUGGGGAUGACGUCAAAUCAUCAUGCCCCUUAUGACCUGGGCUACACACGUGCUACAAUGGAUGGUACAAAGGGCUGCAAGACCGCGAGGUCAAGCCAAUCCCAUAAAACCAUUCUCAGUUCGGAUUGUAGGCUGCAACUCGCCUACAUGAAGCUGGAAUCGCUAGUAAUCGCGGAUCAGCAUGCCGCGGGAAUACGAACCU